GGGCAUGUAGUGUAGCUGGUUAUCGCGCCUCAUUUGCAUCUGUCCGGACUUGAACCGGAUAAAAAACAAGUUGAGGAGGCCUCCGGUUCGAGUCCGGACUUGUCCA